GGCGGCGAUACGUGCGUGGGAAACACUCGUUCCCAUACCGAACACGGCAGUGAAGACGCGUACGGUCGAUGAUACUUGGCUGGCGACGGCCCGGGAAAGUAGAUGGUUA
rnacentral:rRNA from 1 species